rnacentral:lncRNA from 1 species
GCAACCCAAAGGCCAUCCGAGCAGUGAGACCUCAUCAGAAGAGAUGCCGUGGCUGGUGGUGUCACCAACUGCCUGCUCACCUGAAGCAGGAAGGGAAGGAGACUGGGGUGGGCUGAGAGGUGAUGGUUGUGUUCUGCGGUCAUGAAGAGGAAGAGGGGAGUCACAGACUUGAGCUGUACACCCACUGGAGCCGAUGUAGCUAUGCUCUCAUGGCACAGGCGGCCAAUACUUGGUUGACUCUGAUGACUGACGACUUGGGGGAUGGCGGCCGAAGGUCUUUGCACCCUGAGUCUUGAGUGAUUCCGAAUUUGGGGUGUGUCGACGUUUUCUUCUUCACUUAUGUUCAUGUUUCUUUUCUCACCAGCCAUG